rnacentral:rRNA from 1 species
AAUAGAUACCCUGGUAGUCCACGCCGUAAACGGUGGGCACUAGGUGUGGGCGACAUUCCACGUCGUCCGUGCCGCAGCUAACGCAUUAAGUGCCCCGCCUGGGGAGUACGGCCGCAAGGCUAAACUCAAAGGAAUUGACGGGGGCCCGCACAAGCGGCGGAGCAUGUGGCUUAAUUCGACGCAACGCGAAGAACCUUACCAAGGCUUGACAUACACCGGAAAACCCUGGAGACAGGGUCCCCCUUGUGGUCGGUGUACAGGUGGUGCAUGGCUGUCGUCAGCUCGUGUCGUGAGAUGUUGGGUUAAGUCCCGCAACGAGCGCAACCCUUGUCCCGUGUUGCCAGCAGGCCCUUGUGGUGCUGGGGACUCACGGGAGACCGCCGGGGUCAACUCGGAGGAAGGUGAGGACGACGUCAAGUCAUCAUGCCCCUUAUGUCUUGGGCUGCACACGUGCUACAAUGGCCGGUACAAUGAGCUGCGAUACCGCGAGGUGGAGCGAAUCUCAAAAAGCCGGUCUCAGUUCGGAUUGGGGU